UGCUAAGGUAGCAUAAUCAUUUGUUCUAUAAUUGAGAACUGGUAUAAAUGAGCUAACAACAUUAUAGCUUUUUUAGUUGUUGGAUUAGAAUUUAAUAUCUAGGUCAAAAAGCCCAGCUUUCUAGAAAGACGAUAAGACCCUAUAAAACUAACACUCUUAAACUAAGUUUAGUCUUAGAAAUUUAAUUUAGGGUAGAGUUAAGCUGGGGCGGCAACUAGUAAGCACUAGAAAAUAAAACACUAAUUUGUGAAUUUAAAGAUCUUAAAUAGAUUUAGAACAAGUUACUUUAGGGAUAACAGUGAAAUGUCCUGUGUUUUUAACCUGGCACAGGGAGACUUUCCACCUCGAUGUUGAAUUGAGGGGCCAUGUUCAUACGUGAAUGUUGGAGGUCUGUUCGACCUUUAAAACCUCACACGAUUUGA
rnacentral:rRNA from 1 species